UCUUAUGGAUGAGCAGAAAAAGUGGUUUCUGGAGAUGGACUCUACUCCUGAUGAAGAUGCUGGGAA
rnacentral:pre_miRNA from 1 species